AGCGCGGAGCAAAAUCGAAUGGGCCAGGC
rnacentral:piRNA from 1 species